GUGACUGUAGCUCAGUUGGUAGAGCACCGGAUUGUGGCUCCGGGGGUCGAGGGUUCGAAGCCCUUCAGUCACCC
rnacentral:tRNA from 1 species